CCUACGGGUGGCUGCAGUGGGGAAUAUUGGACAAUGGGCGAAAGCCUGAUCCAGCCAUGCCGCGUGUGUGAAGAAGGCCUUCGGGUUGUAAAGCACUUUCAGUGGGGAAGAAAGCCUUGGGGCUAAUACCCUCGAGGAAGGACAUCACCCACAGAAGAAGCACCGGCUAACUCCGUGCCAGCAGCCGCGGUAAUACGGAGGGUGCGAGCGUUAAUCGGAAUUACUGGGCGUAAAGCGCGCGUAGGCGGUCUGAUAAGCCGGUUGUGAAAGCCCCGGGCUCAACCUGGGAACGGCAUCCGGAACUGUCAGGCUAGAGUGCAGGAGAGGAAGGUAGAAUUCCCGGUGUAGCGGUGAAAUGCGUAGAGAUCGGGAGGAAUGCCAGUGGCGAAGGCGGCCUUCUGGACUGACACUGACGCUGAGGUGCGAAAGCGUGGGUAGCAAACAGGAUUAGAUACCCGUGUAGUC
rnacentral:rRNA from 1 species